AUGCUGGACACCAUCCUCCCUUCGCUGCAGGACGUUGGCAGGCACCUGCUGCCCACACUGCCCUCGCUGAGCCAGGAGGAAGUUUCUACUAUUUGGGGAAAUGUGUCAGAAUUUGUGGAACGGCAGCUGUCCUUACACAAGGGAGUUCAGAUUCCGGGACUUGGAACUUUCACUUUCAUGAGACAAAAGCUUGAGGUGGGAAAUAAGAAGUUUUUCCUAAUUCAGAGGCCGGUAUUUGUCAUGGCAGAGAAGUUACUACAGAUGCAUGGACUCAAACAAAACAGAGUAUAUACUCCUGGUGAUAUCCCAAUAGUUCCACUUAAUUUUGUCAUGAUAUCCUUGGAGGGUCCAUUUAGCAGAGAUAUAGUGGAAGGAUGUGUGAAGGAGACGCUGCUUUUUUUGUCACGAUCCAUUUCCAUCAAACAAAAUGUGGAGUUUACAUUCAAAGGAAUUGGGGUCCUCAUGAUCAAAGACAGCAAAGUCAAGAUGAGAUUCUAUAAGGACUUCCUUUGUACAAUGGAUGGAAGCGGGGCUUUGGCAAAAGCCCUAGCAAAUAGGCCUGACACAGUGGACUCAGUGUUGUCUAGCAGAGAGAACUUGGGGAAGCGACCCAACAGCGUGCUUGCAUUUCCAAGGAUUGAUCUCAAGGAGAUGGAGAACAAACCACCUAUGGAGACCAUUACAGAAGAAGAUGGACAGAAUGGACAGAGGAAGGACAAAUUAAAAGACCAGUCAGACAAAGAAGGUGUCCCAGAGAUUUUAUCACCCAAGACAGCUCAAGAUAGACCAGCUGUCUCUACUGCCAAAGGGACAAAUGCCAGUUUGCCAAAUAAACUGGAGCAGAAUGGGAGUGGUGGGAAGAAUAUGAACCAUGAAAGUGUAUCAUUUCCAGGUGGACUGAAAAAUGAUCAUGCAUUGAAGCCUAAAAUUUCUCCAGGCACUUCUUGCAAGGACCAUCAUAGGGCAGGACAGAUGAGAAGUCUGGCUAGCAGAGAACAGAAUCAAAAGAAUGCCGCCUAUAAUCUUGGAGUUGCUGAAGCUAUAAGAAUCCACAAGAAUGAGAAACCUGAAUUUUAUAAAUCCUUCCUAUUUGAUAAACGGCCACUCAGUCCUGAGAUUAAUGCUUUUAAGCAAGAGGAGUAUUCCCAAAGUCUCUUGAGACAAAUGGAUCACAGACGGAAAAAGGACAUAAAGCAAAGGCAAAACAGAGAGCUGAUGGACCGCCUGGAACAAGUGCAGCUCACAGAGGAACUUGCUGCGCAAAGAGCCAAAUAUAUAAAAGAUAAGAUGGAAGAAACACAGUGUUACAAGAGAGCUCUGGAUGCCCAGAUAAAGAACAGAUGCCCUCAGCUGCCUGUGUUUGAGCCAGACUCUUCUAAGCCCAUCUUUGGUAAGAAUGAGGGUGAGAUGAUGGUGGAAAAGCGAAAGAGAGACCAGAAUUACAUGAAGCAUCAGAUGGAGGCCGCUGCUAACAACAAGAGGAGAGCCAUCCUGCACCAGCUGGUGGACCAAAAGCGGGAUUUGCUGAUGCUUCAGAGGACACACAAAGAGCACUUGGCAGACAGAAAUGCUGAGCUUGAGCGAGUGAACAGAAUCAACCAAAGCUUACAGGAUGACUGGGAAAGGAGUGCUGUCAUGAAGAAGCAUCGAGACUUGGAGGAGAAGGCUUUUGAGCGGGCCUCCGACAAGCUCUUCCUGCUGGACCAAUGUGAGAAGUACCGGCGCUGCAAGCAGUGCCAGAGGCGCACCUCCAACAGGGGCGAGAGCAACCUGUGGCCCCUCAACAAGUACAUGCACGGCUCCCGGUUGUUCGUAUAA
rnacentral:lncRNA from 1 species